rnacentral:rRNA from 1 species
UGGGGAAUAUUGCACAAUGGGCGCAAGCCUGAUGCAGCCAUGCCGCGUGUGUGAAGAAGGCCUUAGGGUUGUAAAGCACUUUCAGCGAGGAGGAAAGGUGAUUAGUUAAUACCUGAUUACUGUGACGUUACUCGCAGAAGAAGCACCGGCUAACUCCGUGCCAGCAGCCGCGGUAAUACGGAGGGUGCGAGCGUUAAUCGGAAUUACUGGGCGUAAAGCGUGCGUAGGCGGCUACUUAAGUUGGAUGUGAAAGCUCCGGGCUUAACCUGGGAACUGCAUCCAAAACUGGGUGGCUAGAGUGCGAGAGAGGAGUGUGGAAUUUCCUGUGUAGCGGUGAAAUGCGUAGAUAUAGGAAGGAACACCAGUGGCGAAGGCGACACUCUGGCUUGACACUGACGCUGAGGUACGAAAGCGUGGGGAGCAAACAGGAUUAGAUACCCUGGUAGUCCACGCCGUAAACGAUGUCUACUAAUUGUCCGUUGUCUUGUACGAUGGGUAAUGCAGCUAACGCGAUAAGUAGACCGCCUGGGGAGUACGGCCGCAAGGUUA